GACUAAAAAUGCACGGGAAAAUCGUUCUACUUUGUACGUGCCCCUGGUUAAUGUGAUGUAAACAUGAUAGCGAUAUACGUACUGAAAGAAACUGAUAUAUACAUACCUAGAAUGUUCAAAAGGAUUCAUGGAUGAAAUAUAAGUGACAGUUACUCAGAAGGGGAUAAAUAUAGAAUUUAAGAAUUGAAUCCGUCCUAAAAGGGUUACUAUAUAAAUAACAUAUUGCAGUGAGUGUGUUAUACGUAUAUAUACAUACCUAGAAUGUUCAAAAGGAUUCAUGGAUGAAAUAUAAGUGACAGUUACUCAGAAGAGGGUAAAUAUAGAAUUUAAGAAUUGAAUCCGUCCUAAAAGCCUUACUAUAUGAAUAACAUAUUGCAGUGAGUGUGUUAUACGUAUGUAUACGUAUUCUUACAAUUAGCUAAUACUAAUCUAUUUUAAGCCGACCAUUCUGAAGUAGUUCUACAACUUGUGUUAAUCACUCUCGACACACAAUUCCUAAUGGAAGAGAAGCCCCUCUGCAUGUUGAACGCCAAGCAAGGAAGCUAUUGGUUCAGAUGUAAAAAGGCGAAUUUGCACCAAAAAUUGCAAGCCUUCUCCUGGGCACAGUCGCACAACGUCAGCCGAUACAAAUGUAACGUGAAUGCCACAGCCCAUUUCUGGCGGAACUAACAUGUUAUCUUGGGAAACAUCGGACGGUGUCAUCAGCGUUUCAAGAUGAACAACAGAUGAUUAUUAAAGAAUUAAAGACCUCCUCCCGUCCUACCUUUAACCUUAAAUUGUCACUGAAAAAGCAUGAAAAUCCUGACUAUGAACAGUGCCGCCUGUCAAAAUAGAGCCUAUUUUAUAUUAAAUUCUAUAUAAAAUACCUUUGGUUUUGUGUGCAGAAGUGUGGCACGUGGCCGUUAACUGUUACCUAUUGUAAUCAUGGGUUGCAUACACACAAUAGAAUUUGAAUAGCCGCGGAGCAGAUCUUUAAAGCAAUACCGAUUACAUUAUAUUACAUUGAACGAAAAAUGAUUAAGAACCCGUGAUAACGGUCAUAGAAGUCAGACACCUUACCACAACUCCGCUGUGUAAUUGGUUAACUAUAUAGGUUUUUUAAUAAUGUAGAUAUUUUCAGGAAACAAAUAUUGCGUAAACUAACGAAAACACCCACAAAUAUUGGCGAAUAUUAAUUAGUGCAAGGCCAAUAC